rnacentral:rRNA from 1 species
CAGGCCUAACACAUGCAAGUCGAGCGGACUUAUCCUUCGGGAUAGGUUAGCGGCGGACGGGUGAGUAACACGUAGGCAACCUGCCUGUAAGAUCGGGAUAACUACCGGAAACGGUAGCUAAGACCGGAUAGCUGGUUUCUCCGCAUGGGGGAAUCAUGAAACACGGGGCAACCUGUGGCUUACGGAUGGGCCUGCGGCGCAUUAGCUAGUUGGUGGGGUAACGGCCCACCAAGGCGACGAUGCGUAGCCGACCUGAGAGGGUGAUCGGCCACACUGGGACUGAGACACGGCCCAGACUCCUACGGGAGGCAGCAGUAGGGAAUCUUCCGCAAUGGGCGCAAGCCUGACGGAGCAACGCCGCGUGAGUGAUGAAGGUUUUCGGAUCGUAAAGCUCUGUUGCCAAGGAAGAACGCCUCGGAGAGUAACUGCUCUGAGGGUGACGGUACUUGAGAAGAAAGCCCCGGCUAACUACGUGCCAGCAGCCGCGGUAAUACGUAGGGGGCAAGCGUUGUCCGGAAUUAUUGGGCGUAAAGCGCGCGCAGGCGGUCUUUUAAGUUUGGUGCUUAAGCCCGGGGCUCAACCCCGGUUCGCACUGAAAACUGGGAGACUUGAGUGCAGGAGAGGAAAGCGGAAUUCCACGUGUAGCGGUGAAAUGCGUAGAGAUGUGGAGGAACACCAGUGGCGAAGGCGGCUUUCUGGACUGUAACUGACGCUGAGGCGCGAAAGCGUGGGGAGCAAACAGGAUUAGAU